AGGGCUUACUUUGAUGUUGGAAGCCUUGCUGAAGUGUUUGGGGGAACUCCCGGGUUGACUUUGAAAAUUACGCAAACAAGUAUAUAUAAAUGCAUGAGUACGUAUUAGCUAAAGAUGAUGAGUACAAUAUUGAUUCAUGUACCUUUGGAGUUCCCUUGACCACUUCAUGAGAGCUUAAUAUUUGAUUGUUUGAAGUCCU